rnacentral:lncRNA from 1 species
GAGAAGAGAAGAAGGAAACUACGACCAAGGAGGUUGACGUGACGGUGGAGAAGAUCCCUACAGAGAAGGUAUCCGAGGAAGGAGAACACGAUGAGGCGGUUGGAGAGGAAGUGAAAGGAGGAGGAAUGGUUGGGAUGAUUAAAGGAUGGUUCGGUGGUGGUGCGACUGAGGAGGUGAAGCCAAAAUCGCCACAUUCCACUGAAGAGUCUCCACAAUCACUUGGCACCACCGUUGGUACGUAAAAUUCAUCACUCGUCCUAAUUAUGAGUUUAAUCUAAGAUUUUGGUGUUGUUUCUUGUAUUGUGAUUUACUCAGAAUGUCUUGUUGCAAUGAUAGGGAC